rnacentral:lncRNA from 1 species
UUUUUUGACCUUGGUGUCAUUGUUUCUCUCAUAAAAAGGUGCCCAUCUCAUAGUCUGCCCCACUUUCUCAACAGGGCCCACCUGGCUCUAUGGGAAUACCAGGUCCAGUUGGCCCUCCAGGGCCCCCAGGUUUGACAGGACCUCCUGGUCCACCAGGGCUGCCAGGACCUAAGGGUAAUAUGGGUUUGAAUUUCCAAGGACCCAAAGGUGAAAAAGGUGAACAAGGUCUACAGGGACCUCCAGGGCCACCAGGACAAAUUGGAGAACAGAAGAGACCAAAUGACAUUGAGUUUCAGAAAGGAGAUCAGGGCAUUCCAGGUGAUCCAGGCCCACCAGGACUUCCUGGGCCACAAGGCCCUCCUGGUCUUCCCGGUGGCGUAAAAGGUGAAAAAGGUGAGCAAGGAGAACCAGGCAAAAGAGGAAAGCCUGGCAAAGAUGGAGAACCUGGUCAGCCUGGUAGGGAUGUGAGUAACAUAAAUUUCUAAUAUAAACUGACUCCUUAUAAGCUUUUCCUCGAUAAGGAGAAGAUCUGAGUGUGGGGUAUCUUUCUCUUUUCUUUAAGGGCUUACCUGGUGGGCCUGGAAUAAAUGGUGCUCCAGGAAGAGAGGGUGAAAAGGU